rnacentral:rRNA from 1 species
UACGAAGGGUGCAAGCGUUACUCGGAAUUACUGGGCGUAAAGCGUGCGUAGGUGGUGAGUUAAGUCUGUCGUGAAAGCCCCGGGCUCAACCUGGGAAUGGCGAUGGAUACUGGCGAGCUAGAGCGUGUCAGAGGAUGGUGGAAUUCCCGGUGUAGCGGUGAAAUGCGUAGAGAUCGGGAGGAACAUCAGUGGCGAAGGCGGCCAUCUGGGACAACACUGACGCUGAAGCACGAAAGCGUGGGGAGCAAACAGG